rnacentral:lncRNA from 1 species
CAAAUGGCCGUGUCAUCUGUUCCUUUGGUAACUUCUCUGCUGGAGGCCUCUGUUGCUGAUGAAAGCCACCAGGGGCACCUCGCCAAAGCUGACCCCUGCUCAACUAGCAUUAUCUGGAAGUGAAAGACACAUUUAAAGGGCAAGAAACAGAUCGAUGAGCUCAGGAGGAGGGCCGGAAAUGGGAGGAACUGGAGAAAAGAAUUCAAGGUUCUGGCAUCAACUAAAAGGGUCCAACUACACCUGGUCCUUCAUUGUGUAGUUUCACAAGCAGCAAAUAUCAUGAGUAGAGUCCAAAAUAUGAGUCUUCUGACAGGGACCCUUCCAGUUUCCUCAAAGCCUGAACAAGAAGCACUGAUCACAGAAUGCGAAGGUUGGAAAGGCCCAUCAGAGAUCGCCCUUUGCACUUCCGGUUUUACUGGUGCAGGAAUCAAGGCUGAUGGCAGGUGAGUGGCUGGCCCAGAGGCUCUGCUCAUUGGUUUCAGCGUUUUAGAUCUUGGGUCUCCUAACUCCAUGAGUGGUUCUUUCCUCUCCUACAAA